GACGUAGGGCGCGAGCGUUGUCCGGAUUUAUUGGGCGUAAAGAGCUCGUAGGCGGCUUGUCGCGUCGUCCGUGAAAACCUGCGGCUCAACUGCAGGCUGGCGGUCGAUACGGGCAGGCCGGAGUUCGGUAGGGGAGACUGGAAUUCCUGGUGUAGCGGUGAAAUGCGCAGAUAUCAGGAGGAACACCGGUGGCGAAGGCGGGUCUCUGGGCCGAUACUGACGCUGAGGAGCGAAAGCGUGGGGAGCGAACAGG
rnacentral:rRNA from 1 species